UUUCAACUUUGCAGAUCAUUUUGAUUAAAUUAUUGGGCUAUUGGUAUGAGCACGGGGUUAACCUUGUGGUAAUACUUGUUCUAGACAAGAGGUGAUAGUUCCCGUUCGGGUCAGUCAGGGAAGGCUCCGGAAGCUUGAGCUGCUAUUGCAAAAUUGUAGCGCUUCCACUCUUUUGAUUG